rnacentral:rRNA from 1 species
AUUGAACGCCGGCGGCAGGCCUAACACAUGCAAGUCGAAUGGUAACAGGAAACAGCUUGCUGUUUCGCUGACGAGUGGCGGACGGGUGAGUAAUGUCUGGGAAACUGCCUGAUGGAGGGGGAUAACUACUGGAAACGGUAGCUAAUACCGCAUAACGUCGCAAGACCAAAGAGGGGGACCUUCGGGCCUCUUGCCAUCAGAUGUGCCCAGAUGGGAUUAGCUAGUAGGUGGGGUAACGGCUCACCCAGGCGACGAUCCCUAGCUGGUCUGAGAGGAUGACCAGCCACACUGGAACUGAGACACGGUCCAGACUCCUACGGGAGGCAGCAGUGGGGAAUAUUGCACAAUGGGCGCAAGCCUGAUGCAGCCAUGCCGCGUGUAUGAAGAAGGCCUUCGGGUUGUAAAGUACUUUCAGCGGGGAGGAAGGGAGUAAAGUUAAUACCUUUGCUCAUUGACGUUACCCGCAGAAGAAGCACCGGCUAACUCCGUG